UUACGGCCAUAUCACGUUGAAACACCUGUUCUCAUACGAUCACCGAAGUUAAGCAACGUCGAGCCUAGAUCUAGAUGGGUGACCGCUUGGGAAUAUCAAGUGCUGUAAG